rnacentral:rRNA from 1 species
AACGAACGCUGGCGGCAGGCUUAACACAUGCAAGUCGAGCGCCCCGCAAGGGGAGCGGCAGACGGGUGAGUAACGCGUGGGAAUCUACCCAUCUCUACGGAAUAACGCAUGGAAACGUGUGCUAAUACCGUAUACGUCCUUCGGGAGAAAGAUUUAUCGGAGAUGGAUGAGCCCGCGUUGGAUUAGCUAGUUGGUGGGGUAAAGGCCUACCAAGGCGACGAUCCAUAGCUGGUCUGAGAGGAUGAUCAGCCACACUGGGACUGAGACACGGCCCAAACUCCUACGGGAGGCAGCAGUGGGGAAUAUUGGACAAUGGGCGCAAGCCUGAUCCAGCCAUGCCGCGUGAGUGAUGAAGGCCUUAGGGUUGUAAAGCUCUUUCACCGGAGAAGAUAAUGACGGUAUCCGGAGAAGAAGCCCCGGCUAACUUCGUGCCAGCCGCCGCGGUAACAC